rnacentral:rRNA from 1 species
CCCUUAGAUGUUCUGGGCCGCACGCGCGCUACACUGACGAAUGCAACGAGCUUAUAACCUUGGCCGAAAGGUCUGGGUAAUCUCCAAAUUUCGUCGUGAUGGGGAUAGAUUAUUGCAAUUAUUGAUCUUCAACGAGGAAUGCCUAGUAAGCGCAAGUCAUCAGCUUGCGUUGAUUACGUCCCUGCCCUUUGUACACACCGCCCGUCGCUCCUACCGAUUGAAUGGUCCGGUGAAGCGUUCGGACCGUGGCCUUUGGACGGUUCGCCGUCUGUUGGCUGCGGGAAGUUCGUUAAACCUUAUCAUUUAGAGGAAGGAGAAGUCGUANCA